CGGCACCAUAACACCUCCUGGGGCAGUAUAAUAAACUCGCCUGUCGUACGCUGCCAUGUGUGCGUAUGAAGAAUCUGGUACUCCUCCGCUUUGCGGCCUCACCAUUUGCUGUGUCAUGCCGGAUAUUGGCGGGUGUUGGGUUGGUGGAGGUUGUGCCACCAUGUUGUAAACGGGUUGCUCCCGGUAGACUUCGGAUGGCAUUCUCUGUACGUUGGUGUAGUAGCCUUGACCGGCUUGUCCGGUUACCGGUCGAACCAUUUGUUGCGUUGCUGGUGCAGAAGCUGGAGCUGGAACUUGUGGAGGCGCGUGGUAGACGGUGGCCGGAGCAUGUCCUUGUGCUGGGAUCAUGUAGACUGGAUGUUCAGAGUGCGGAGGUUGGCCGGGGUUUGUAGUUACGGUUGCAGGGAAACCUCCGGCAGAAAUUGGUUUAUCCGACCAGAAUCCAGCUGUAGCUGGUACAUGUUGUUGGAAAGUUACCGGUCUGUUCACCGGAGGCGCUUUUUCAGGCAUCUUCUGUGCGUAGUAUUCCCCUGUAUAAGCCAUGGAAGCAGCGUCUUCAGUCUUCUUUCGAUACAUAGCGAGCUGUUCUUGAUCCCGAAUUUGAAGCCUCUGCAAUUCCUGUAACUGUCUCUGAAUUUCAACGGGAUUCAAAACAUGAUCUGUCCCCACGACUUCCGGUAUCGGAGGCGGAGGCGGGUUCACCGGUUCCACCACGGGAUCACGGAUUUUCACCGGCGGAGGUUGAGGGAUCCCCUUUUCAAUCCCAAACAAGGAAUCCAAAUUGUUUGGUGGAAUCACAACUCCACCCGGAGUCGUGCCGGAAUUGAAUGCCUCUACGAACCCUUCCCGCUCCGAUUUCGGCCCUUCGGAACCGAAAUUCCCUAGGUCAG
rnacentral:lncRNA from 1 species